UACGAAGGGGGCUAGCGUUGUUCGGAAUUACUGGGCGUAAAGCGCGCGUAGGCGGUUUUGCAAGCCAGAGGUGAAAUGCCUGAGCUCAACUUAGGAAUUGCCUUUGGGACUGCGAGGCUUUGAGGACUGGAGAGGUGAGUGGAAUUCCCAGUGUAGAGGUGAAAUGCGUAGAGAUGUGGAGGAACACCAGUGGCGAAGGCGACUCUUUGGUCUGUAACUGACGCUGAGGCGCGAAAGCGUGGGGAGCAAACAGG
rnacentral:rRNA from 1 species